rnacentral:lncRNA from 7 species
CUCCUUCCCGCUCGCUGCUCUGAAGCCCGGCUGCCAUUCGAUGCCUGACGGCUUCUCCUACCAACGCACACUAUUUCCAGGGGCUCUGGGGAACUGGAGUCAGAUGGAGCCAUGGCCCACCAAGCGGCAAGCAAGGGGUGCUAUGUGAAACCGUUUCUCUAUCAAGCCUGCCCCCCCUGCCCACUGCUGGGAUCUGCUCAGAAGGGACCUCAAGAAUGAUGGGAUCCACCUGUACCAGCCAAGCCUGCUGCCAGGACCAGCCCUGGGCACCUGGCCCAAGGCAACACAUUUUUAGGUGCUUAGUUAAGUCUCAAGGAAAAGAAAAGCAAUUGCAAAAUGGGAAUGGAAGCCUUGGUCCGUCUGGUGUUUGUUUGAGCACUGUCAGGCAGAAAAAGAAGGCAAGAAGUCUACAUAUGACGCUGGAGACUUCCUGGUCCUGCUGCUGCCACACUACAAAAUUGAGAUCACUGGCCCAGUGAUGAUGAUUUUCUCACUACUGCCACAGUUGCCUUGAGAAGCUCCCACCGAAGAAGCCAGGCAGGCUGGAACUGGAAGGGAAGUUGAAAGGACCCAUGCAUCUGUGGAUGAGGGGAUCACAGCCUGUGGCAGAGCACCUCAGCCUCCCUUGCUCUUGGAUGUAUUCAUCACACUGAACCCACAGCCCCAUGUGGGAUGCAGAGUAAUGCCCACUGCAUAUGUACCAACGAAGUUACAGACACCAAGAGAGAGCUUAUGGGAGUAGCACUGGAGUCAAUGAAACAAAGAAAACGUGUCAGAAAAUUUGGUCUCUGGAGCCUACAGAUGCCAGAAAUGAGAGUAUUGGAAAUCCUGCUCCUCAUCUGCUUUACAAAACAAAAAUCACACCCUCAUUUCUUAUGGCCAUAGCCUUGAGAUUAUGAGAUAGUUAAAACCAGUAGCUGGAGUUGGCGAUAUAUAUUUGGGACUUUUUUUUCCUAAGACUGUGGCUUAUCAGUGAUAUUUCUUACAUCAGCACAUGGCUGUCCUUUAAAAUACAUUAUGGGUCUGUUAUCUGGGCAACUGCUCAGGAGUUUGCUCUUUUGGUCGUGUGGCAAAUGAAUAACAGACGCUUUUAUCUGGAUUGUAAGGACUCCAUACUGCCCUCCACAGGGGGUAGGCGAGCUUGGAUUUGGUGCCACUGCGGAACCUUGGAUCACUGCUGCAGAAAAUGAUGAGUGAGAAAAAGCUGUGUGAUGCAGGGGUCUGGUCCUCUUUGCUUAGGAGCUCUGUUCAAGCUAAGGCAUUCACCUUUGCCACCCUACUUGAGCUACACUGCAGGUGUGCCUGUGCCUGGCUGUGUUUUUGACACCGACUCCGAAUUGUGAACCUGAAAUCUCAGCUUGAUCUCAGUUCUGCCUCCUCACUACGGGCUUCUCUGGUGAUCUGGAUGUGGUCAACCCUGGUUGCCAUCCCAAGACCUGCUCUGCUCUUCAUUAUUAGGAGCUGUAGUAUCACAGGCCUUGUUGAUGAGGCUUGCCACCACCUUGCCAGCCUGGCUGUCAUCCUCUGUCACUGCCUCACCCUAGCUUCUUCCUGAAACUGAGAUCGUUGUGUUUGUCCAGAUGUCAAAUUUAUUGAUCAAACAAAAGCAAUGGAGUCUCAAGCAAUACGGAAGUGGCAAAAUGGGUGAGGCAAGACCAAUCACUGGGACUCUGCUCCCUGUUUUCUGUUUACAGCUCUGCUACCUAUGCAUGAUGCCUUUUCCCCCAGAUAAAAAGAAUCCUCUAAGAACAGAAUAAACCUCUGGCUGCAAUAGGAAUAUGUAGUGCUGUCUAUGAGAGUUUGCCUGCCACCUGAAAUAUUGUGGUCAAGAUCUCACUCCUUUCAAGAUAUUGUAGAUCUGGAAGCAAUCCUGAAGCAUCAAGUAUGAUGUCACUUGUCCAGGGUAAGCUCAGUUAUAGCAGGUUGUUCCUGAUGCAGAAGACUGUCCUGGUCCUUCAUUCCUGGACAGUAUCAUCCUUUCUUAUGCUAAAAGAUCCCACUUUUUCCUACCUUUCCUUCCAUGUCACGUUCUGUGGAUUUCUGUUAAUUUUUAUGGCUCUCUGUCACCCUCUCAAUAACCAGCACCAAACACAGUGCCCAUGUUGAGAUGAUAACACCAAAUAAAGAAUCGGGAAUGCCCAGCGUGUUCACAGAUUGUAUACAUGUAUCUAUGUUGUGCUUACCCAUUUUAACAACAAUGUGCUGUUGAUGAUUACAUUACAAGCUUUAAACUCCUUUC